UACUGUUAACAGGGAGCGACCAAUAAUCCACCACUCACCCGUGCUACGCAAACAAACAAAUCCUCCAUGCUGAAGCUUGCAGGCAGACUAGAGCUGCUUUCAUAGUACAGAAUGAAUCAGAGUUCAGAGGAUCAUAUAUGACACUAACUGACAUGUGCACCAUUGAAUAAUAAUGUCAGACAAAGGACCACAAAAGUAAAGGAAUCAGGAAAGAGGAGACAGAAUCGAGGAAGAAUUGCAAGAUGUGACGGUGCUGAAAGACACCAUUACAAACAAGGAGAAAGAACUGAUUCAAGAUUAAAGAAAAAGUUUAAGGGAGAGAGGCAGCCCAGGCAUCAGGUGAUGGAGAGACAUAAACAAAGUCAAAGCAGGAAAUCUGACUCAGCAAAGAUUGUGUUCCACUCGUUGUUCCAAGAGGAAUCCUGUUUAUUUAACACCUCAUAUUCGCAUCGACAAACCUUCAAACUGUCAGCAGGAGCGGUGCUGAGGAUAAGAGAGACAGCUGGCUGAAUGCUGUCAAAGACAAACUGCCUCGUAGCUACAGUGUCUCACCUCUUUCCCUUUCGUCUCCUGUAAUCUUUUGCUUCUACAGCCAACCUGUUAUUACAGAGAGAUCACAUAAGUACAUAUAAUUCUAAUUAGGAAAUAGUUUGCUUUCAUAUGAGAGAAUAGCAUCAGGUUGAGUCCUGCAUAAUUUUGGAUUUAAUCUUCAGUGAGGGAUCGGUUUCACAAGAUUGUCCUACAUUCAUUUGUAGCCCACGCACAGAACAUCCAAAUAAACUUUUAUGCGUACUUCUCACUGUGUGUCUUGGAAGUGUUAGUGUUUUUUUGUUUUUUUUUACUUUGUGUCCAUGUGGCAAAAGAAUGUGCUUGGCUUCAGCUUGUGAGCUGUUAAAUUUUUAGCACAGAAUUAAUUAUUUAAGUAUCGUAUGUCUUCAAUGUGUCUAUAGGGAAUGUGAAGAUUCGUGCACACACUGCAUUGCAUGUUGGGAUGGGGGCGCCAUAUUGGGAGGAACGUGCCCUGUUCCCUGCCUGUGCCUGCUACGGUGCUAUGAUGGUUGCCUGCUUACCUUUUUCUUUUGUUUGGCUAAAAAAUUGGUUAAAUAGUUUAAAAGUUACAAAUCACUUGAAGCUCAUGAACAGUUUUGCCGUGGCUGGGUGCAAGAUCUACUAAUUCACACGCCGGCAAACUGCAAGAGCACAGUCAUACUCACAAAGG